UAUAUUUUAUUUUUCUUUUGGGCCCAACCCAACCCGUGAGCCUUCAUUUUGGGCCCAAGCCCAUUCGGAAACCAAGCCUAAUCCGUAAGCCAUGAAACCCAGCCCCUUGGCAAUAUGGCGUCGUUUGGCAUGCCUUAGGGCUUCUUCUUCCUUUUUUUCUUUCCUUCUCAGCGCCGUUCUCAUUUUUCUUCUUCUUCCUUUAGCUGUCGCAACUCUCUUCCACCAUUCUUGAACUGGUCGGCUAAAGCCUCAUUUCGCACCUUCUUUCCUCUUCUUUGUUGUCUUACGUAUUUCUUGUUAUUGUGGUGUAAAAGCUUUGCUUUUUCUCUUGUUUUACCUCUUGAAUCACGAUCUGUUUGGCUCUUGAAAUUAUCCUUUGUUUUGCCUCCAAACAUGAAACUUGAGACCCGGUCCGGAUGGCGUGGAGGUUGGGAAGGGCGUGCGGCUGUGCAAAGGGCGUUCGAUGAAGAUCCCAAAUGCCCACCAAUCAACGACGUUCCCGUGCGAUCCACCGAACACGACCUCCUGUGCCACGUAUUCGUGGGUUCCGUCAAAGGAACACAACUGGUUGUCUACCGGCUUAGUCACGAAAAGUCGGUUGGAGGUUAGGGUUCAUGGGGUCGAUGGAGCCGGGAAGGAAGAUGAGGAUUGUAUGGAAUGUAAACGGAGCAGUGCCUAAAUCUUCUAUGUACACGGAAACAAAAACAGAAUUAAAAUUUCCUGUUUAUUCAUGUAGCAAUGUGAUAGACAUUUAUUGUUAUAGAUAGAUAUUCUGCAAUAUCAUAAUAAAGGGCAUAAAAGUAAUAUGAUAAA